ACACCACUAAAGAGUAGUUUACUCCCCCUUAGUUGUAGACAGCAGAAGAAAGCUAACUUACUUUUUCUUCCCCCUUUCAUAUAUUCUUCCCCUAAAUAUAUUCUCCCCCUUAGUUGUGGAAUCCUCCGAGGAUAUGUGGUAUCAAAUAGGUCAAGGAACGUGUACAAUACUUCCUGUACCAAAAGAUAAUCUCCCCAUAGAGAACUAAACAACGCUAAAGCUGGGGUCGAAGAAAGAGUUCAGAAGAAGGGUUUACUUUGAUUGGGUUGGUCCCUAUGCUGAAAGAAU
rnacentral:lncRNA from 1 species